rnacentral:rRNA from 1 species
AGUGAACGCUGGCGGUAGGCCUAACACAUGCAAGUCGAACGGCAGCACAGAGGAGCUUGCUCCUUGGGUGGCGAGUGGCGGACGGGUGAGGAAUACAUCGGAAUCUACUCUGUCGUGGGGGAUAACGUAGGGAAACUUACGCUAAUACCGCAUACGACCUACGGGUGAAAGCAGGGGACCUUCGGGCCUUGCGCGAUUGAAUGAGCCGAUGUCGGAUUAGCUAGUUGGCGGGGUAAAGGCCCACCAAGGCGACGAUCCGUAGCUGGUCUGAGAGGAUGAUCAGCCACACUGGAACUGAGGCACGGUCCAGACUCCUACGGGAGGCAGCAGUGGGGAAUAUUGGACAAUGGGCGCAAGCCUGAUCCAGCCAUACCGCGUGGGUGAAGAAGGCCUUCGGGUUGUAAAGCCCUUUUGUUGGGAAAGAAAUCCAGCUGGCUAAUACCCGGUUGGGAUGACGGUACCCAAAGAAUAAGCACCGGCUAACUUCGUGCCAGCCGCCGCAGUAA